rnacentral:rRNA from 1 species
GAUGAACGCUGGCGGCGUGCCUAAUACAUGCAAGUCGAGCGAACGGACGAGAAGCUUGCUUCUCUGAUGUUAGCGGCGGACGGGUGAGUAACACGUGGAUAACCUACCUAUAAGACUGGGAUAACUUCGGGAAACCGUAGCUAAUACCGGAUAAUAUUUUGAACCGCAUGGUUCAAAAGUGAAAGACGGUCUUGCUGUCACUUAUAGAUGGAUCCGCGCUGCAUUAGCUAGUUGGUAAGGUAACGGCUUACCAAGGCAACGAUGCAUAGCCGACCUGAGAGGGUGAUCGGCCACACUGGAACUGAGACACGGUCCAGACUCCUACGGGAGGCAGCAGUAGGGAAUCUUCCGCGAAGGGCGAAAGCCUGACGGAGCAACGCCGCGUGAGUGAUGAAGGUCUUCGGAUCGUAAAACUCUGUUAUUAGGGAAGAACAUAUGUGUAAGUAACUGUGCACAUCUUGACGGUACCUAAUCAGAAAGCCACGGCUAACUACGUG